UUAAAAUCUUGUGAUUUAGAAUAUAGUGGCAUAAUCUGUUAUAGUUGCACAUAACAAUAUUCACUUUUACCAAUUCAAUUCAAGCUCAAACUUUUUUAAUCUCUUUGAGGAUUGAAUAAUAAAUUCAGCAUUGCCAGUGCAAAGUAAAAGUAUUCAUUCACUCUAUUGCUGGUUUUCCUAGGCAUAUGAAAUUAGUACGGCUUCUCACACUCUUUAUUUCACUCCUUUGUGUGAAUAUAGCCUACAGAGAUUUAAAGGAUUAACUUGUGUCGGAUUGUAUUCUAUAGUCUCCGGGCAUAAAACAACUUAGUUGUAAGUCAUACAAUAAGUUGAUCAAAACCAUAUUAAUCAAAAAGACAAAGUGAUGUACAAGAAAAUCAUAAUAUAAUUGUAUGUUUACUAAUGAAAAAUAACUGAAAGAUACACAAUCAUCAAAUUUGUGCCCCAUCCAAUGCCAGACCUUUUUUGGGAAAUUUUCAAAAUAAUCAAAGGUAUAAAAUAAUCUUAGCUUAUAAAAAAUACUUUGCCAAUUUUAGCAAUUUACACAUGGUUAUAAAAAUUGCAUAAAUUUGCACUUAUUGGCAAUGUUUAUAAUAUGUUUUGCUACAUUGUUUAUAUUAACACAGUAUAUACCCAAAAAACUUUCUAAAAUAUAAAUAACAACAUUACAAUCCAACUAUGUUUUUGAAAUUUUUGGGUUUGGUACUCAAAGAAAUACUGAAAAAUCCUAUACUCAAUGAAACAGCAGCCACACUAAAAGAACACUUUAUUUCAACAUAUCUACAAACUUUUAUCAAAUAUCACCUACCAUAAGAAUAUUAUAGUUUUUAAAUGCUGUUUUUGCAUACCAUAUAACAUGUUUAUUUUUAAUUAAAAGUGAAAUUAAAGUACAUGAUAAAAUAUAAAGUUUUAUGUUUUGGAUAUAUUUUUUGUGAAAUGUCCAUGCUGUGAAAACUUCAUGUUGAGUCAUUGCUAAAUAUUUUGUCAGUUACUUUGUAUAUGACCAAAUAUCAAGUAUCAUUAAAAUGACUAUUACUGUCUAUUGCAAGUAUAGAUUUUAACUAUGUACAGUGUUUCCAAAAAUCCUAGAUAAUAAAAGUCUUGGUAGCUUUUUAUGAUACCUUCCAUGAAUGAGUUUCAAAAAUUCUAUUACACAUCCUGAUACAUUGAAUGUAGCCAAAAAAUGUUUGCCUUAUCAAAAUUAUGUUUGUAUACAUAAGAUAUAGUUUUUACACCAGAAUAGUCAAUUACUUAACAGUCUGGCAAAUAAAGGUGUCUGACUGUCAGGUCAAUGAGUGGUGGUCAUUUCAGGCUGGUUUUUCAUGGACAGAAUUCUUGUCAGUUUUUAGGAAGGGAAUUUCUCAGCCUCAGUUUGGCUCCCACAGUUGGAUUACAGGAGAUUACUUGGUUCCUCUGUGCUUCUGUAUUGUUUCAUCUCUAGUCUCUUCUGUGUCAGAAGACUCCUAAAUGUCCAUCUCAGGCAGUUUUUGUCACUUGAAAGUUUCUAUAUUCAAAUAUUAAAAAUAUUCCACUCCUCAAACAUUGCACAAUAAAUAUUGUCAGAUUCGGUUUACUGUAUUGUAAAGUUUUGUUAAUAUUUUGACUGCUUCAAAAAUGAAUAGAGUUUUAUAUCAGUGAAGGUCUAUAUUAAUAUGAAUAGGUUUACCAAAGUAGCGUCAUUGUGUUGAGAAGGUAUCUGAUAAAAUUUUAUAACUCUGUGAUUACUACUGAUAACAUAAAAAUCCAUAUUUGUUCCAAAUUUUAACAUCUGUAUAAAAGUAAUGUACUAUGAUCAUUAUUUUUCUAUUCCUCAUCUUUCAGUGUGAAUUAUCAACUUCAUCAAUGAUUGAAUUAAAAAAACUACUUAAAGCAAGAAAUAUAUACAACACUCUGUUUGGCUUAGAAAGUAAUAUUUGUAAAUAUUUUCAAAACUCAACAAAAACGAACACUUCUGUUAUAACACGUGAUGUAGAAAAGUAUAAUCAUUUGCUUAAUUUAAUUAUUGUUAAAAUAAAAAUCAAGGACAGUCUAUACAUUAGAUCUGUGUUGAAGUUGAAAGAACAAGGUGGGCCCAUAUUUCUUCACUACAAUUGCACGUACAAUUAUUUCGUCGACAAGUGUGGCUGGACAAAGCAAGAAGUGAUUAAUUUGCAAACAUGGUUAACUGAUACACAUUAUUUGUGGUUUUUGUUUAGGAGAUUCAUAGAGAAGUAUAAAUAUAUUCCAAGAAAUAACUUGUUGUUCAGUUAAACUAUUUAUAGCUAAAUUUUUUUAGUAGAUUAACUAUGAAGUUUAAAAAUAAAAAUGUUCUUGGUUGUGAUUAAAGAGGACUGAAAGAAGUAGCUUAUCUUUGGUUAAAGAACCUCUUGAAACCUAUCUGACCUUCAGUGUUCUCACUUCUCAUGUAGGAAAAUUCUCAGUGACAGAAAAAGGUUUGAAAAUUUUUUUCUUGUUCAUAUUUUUGUGCAUUUCUCUAAAAAUAUCUGUAUUAUAUGCAAACACUUUCUAAAUGUAUUUUUUCAGUACUUUGAAAAUGCAUUAAAAUUUUAUCACAUUAAAACAUUGAACUUUUAUUCAAUACGUUAAUUAUUUAACAACAAAUAGCAGUUUUAGUAUCAACAUAGUAAUAACCAGCAGGACCCAACAAAUAAUAUAUGUAUGAUUGAGGUUACAUCUACUUUUCUCUCACAUAACAAUUUUCUUCUAUUUUCUUGUAUUAUUAAAGUAUAUCUUGUGGUAUGCCUUAGACUAGCUUGUCAUUUAAGAAAUUCUCUGCCCAUCAGAAACAUUAUUAUGUUUAAUGUCCAGAGUGUAAAAAUGUUGUUCAUUUCCAAUAUUGUUAAAAUUAUUUUCUUUAUGUAUUAUGAAUAAUGUUAACCAAAAGAAAAACUAGAAUAUACCAAGUCUUUACAGUGCAAUGGAAAGAUGAGUGAUAGUUUCUUUAUACGUUUCAUGUAUUUUUUAAACGAUUCAACUUUUACUUUAUUCCACUGAAAAUGCUCUAUCAGUUUAUCGAAGUUAAAUUCCAAUUUCAUAAAAGUAGGAGUUCCCAGUUUUAUCAUAUGAAAUGCUGAAUCUGAAAAUGUUGAAUUGGUUUGAACUAAUUUGUCAAACUCUUUAAACUUUUGCCAGUACAGUUCCAUAUUUUGAAGUAGGUAUUGUCCAUCUUCUUUAUUUGAUGACUGUAAUAGUUUUGAAAUUUUAUCAUCCAGCAAAAGUAAGUAUUUUGUUUCUUGGCUCAUAACAAGAGGUUUCUCUUCUUUUGUAACUAGCACAUUACCUAUACUAUAAAAUAGACAAGUCCACUGAAGAACACAUCUAGCACAUUUUGAGUCCAUUUAAACAAAAUAAGUGAUAGAAAAAUAUCAGAGUAUUUCACAGUUUACAAUCUUAUACGAGAUUCUUAUCAAUCUUUUUGUGUGUAUGUAAAAUUUUAAUUAUUUUAUUUUAAUUUAUAAAUUAUGUAGGAAGUGACACACAUUGCAUUGUUUGUUAUUUUAUAAGUUAAAUUAUUUUGAAAAUGUUCAACUGGUAAACCAGUAUUUCAGAACCUGGACUAAAUGGACUCCUUGCUUGAUUGCUUCACCAUUGGACUAUCUUCCUUUCCACAGGUUUAGCAAAUGGCAUUAAUGCCAGAUUAAUGUAAGUGGUUUGUGUGUGAUAACAGUCUGGAACCCAUGCAUAUAUUUUCCACUUAUACUGUAUAACAUUUUCUCUAAGAGCUAAAACAAGUCACUCUUGGCAUAAAUACUUAUUUGUUUAAAUCAAAUUAGUCCUCAAAAUCUCUAUUAGAAAGUUUCAAAGAGGAUGAACACAGGGUGUUUGUUCCAAGCCAAUAAUGUUAAAUAUGAUCAUAAAGUGUUAUACCUUAAUGAUUAGAGCUAUUAGGUUGGCAUGAGCGACGAAGCCACAGCGAAGUCUUCUGAAGCCACACUGCAAAGCUCUCUCUAUUUAAUUUUCCAUAUUAUUGAUGAUAUAAGUAGAGUAACAAGUACAGUAUUUUAUCUGGUUAUCUUUUGUUAUAAAUUUACAACCUUAUGAAUUUGUGAAAAGUGAGAGAUGGUAUCGAAAGCCUUAGAGAGAUCCAUAAAGAUACCUAUAGGUUUUUUAGCUUCAUCUAUUAAAUUGAAUAUUAGUUCUGUAAAAUCAACCAGAGCUGUAACCACUGAUUUACCUUUUCUAAAACCAUGUUGCUCCCUAUUGAACAGUUCAUUGUGCUCUAGAAAGUUCACCAGUCUAUUUACAUUGCUUUCUCAAACACUUUUGAUAGUUUUGGAAAGACUGAUACUGGACAGUAAUUAUUGGGUUCUAACUUGCUUCCUUUUAUAUGAAUUUGGACUACUUUGGCAAUUUUAUUUCAGAAGAAAAAAUACCAGUAAUAGGACAUGAAUUUAUUAAAUGUACUAUUAGUUUUAGAAGAGGUUUUUGUAGCAGUUUUCACUAAUUUAAUUGGAAUUUCAUCAUGACCACUUGAUGAUUUAUUUGUAAAACAUUUUAUAACAUGCAAUAUUUUUUCAUUUACUCGUGCACACCUAAAAACCCUCUUCUAAAACUGCCCUUCCUUAGUUUUUGGAUCCAUUUAGUUAAAUCCAAGACGGUUCGGUACUAUUUGUAAGAUUAUGAACUGUAUUGACAAAUUGUAAAUUAAAAAACUACUAACACUGUUUGGAUCAGAUGUUGAUUCCCUGUUUUCUUUUAAAUACUAUCUCUAAAACUGUCUUUCGAAUUUCUUCUUCGAAUAUUAAUAAUCUGCUAAGUGGUUUUCCUGAUUUUGCAACCAUAUAAUUCUCUCUUGCAAUCAACUAAUUUGAGAUUAAACUGCUUAUUUUUCACUCUAAUACUGUUAUGCAGUUCUUUAUCUUUAUUGUAUAGUAAUCCUACUUAAACUAAUAAUAUAAUUUUUUCAUUUUUUAGAUUUCUAUUGAAAGUCCCAGCAUUUGACCAUUGAGAUCUGACAAUUCAUUUAUUUUUUGUAAUAAAAUUGUCAAUGCAGAUUGAUGUCAAAACCUUCACACCAUGAGAAAAGCUGUAAAACAAUCAAUAUGUUAUGGCAAUUUAUUUUGUGAAGCCUUGUGAAAGAUCAACUAAAGACAGACUGCUAUAGUAAUAUCUUCUCAAUUCCAAAAGAUUGGAAAAUUAUUAUGUAUAUUAAUAAUUUUAUUUCAUUUUCCCAACUUAAGUCUAGUGCAAAAUGCUAUUUUAAUGAAAGAUUGAAUAUUGAACAGAUGUUUUCAAUCAAUUAUAAAAAAUAAAAUUAUUUUGAGUUAAAUAUCAUGUUAUGGAUUUCAUUUCCAUAGCAUUGUUGUGACCAUAUAGAAUGGCAACUUGGUGAAAUGGUGAUCUCAAUCAAAGAUCAUAAGCUCUAGCCCAACCAAGAAGCGACCUGCAGGAAGCAUUGUCUGCCAGCCAAUAGGGAUCACCGGAAGAGCACUCCUGAUAUGUUAGCACUCUCUGCCACUUGAUGCAACCUCCUCAGUGCAGCAUCUGAUAUCUGAAGCUGUCAAAGGCGACUCCUGGAAUAUAGAGUCCACGCCCGUCUGAAGAGAUAAAAAAAAAUUGGUGACAAAGAAGCUCAAAACGAACUCUGCAUUAUUUCAACAUCAAGAUACCUAGACUACACCAUUAAGUAUAAUAUAGGUAAAGGGGUGUUCUCAUUGUCUCCUUAGGUACACAGUUAAUUGAGUGCACUAGGAUGUUUUAGAAACGAUCCCAAAGCACAGCAGGGAUUAAAUAAAAAAAACUGACAAUUUCUGAAAUGUCAGUUUACAUUUGUAUACUUAUAUGUAUUUUUUGAGCAUUUAAAAUGAUUAAAUAGUUGCUAUAAAUCAAUAAUUUUCGUAACUGCUAAAAUGGUUCUUAACAGACUGUGUGAACAGGUAAAAUACAGACACAAUUAUUACAAUUACGGAAAUGAUUUAAUUGAUCAAUUGCAAUCACAUUUAUAAUGUGAUUAUAUUAUAAAUUUUGUAGUAUAUUACAUGAAAGGGGAAUUAAAGUUAUAUAAGUAAUAGCAUGUGUACUUCAGCCAAUAGCGGUAAAUAAGACAUGACAGCAUUUUUGCACAGCAGGUAAAAAAUUUAAUAAAAAAUGACACUGUAAAAUAAUCUUAAUAAUUAAUUAUGAUAAUGUAGAAAAUGAGUCAAAGUGAAGUUAGUUGUAUCCACAUCUUUGCAGCUGAUUACUAUUUUUUACUCAUUAUAAGGCCUUUGAAACAAAGUGUCAACAUCAACCCUCAUUUUAGUGAAAUCAAUUUGAAGCUUUUGUGAAAGUGCUGCAAUUACAAGCAAAAGAUCUUUGACAUUAGAAAAUGUUUUAGAUUUCCACCCAUAAGUUUGUUGUAAGUUUGGAAGGUCAAAGGCUUCUUGAACAAAAGAUGGGCACUCGUUUUCCAAGACAAAUUUUGCUGGCCUAAAAGCUUUUUGUUCACUUAGUACUACCAAUCCAUCCAAAUACCUUAAAUUUUUCCAAAAAUCUUCCAGAUAACCAUAAAGCAAAUUUCCUUUACCACUCUCUGGAAGUAUCAGCAAACGCAAUAUUUUCUUGUCUAAAUCAACUAAAAAGUUUCCUAAUUCCUCAACUGCAAUUUCAGUCUCUGUUUCACUGGCAACCAUCAACACGGUAGUAGUAAUUAUUACCGCAUGAAAUAAAAACAUUAUGUGAUAAUUUAGGUUUUGAACUGAUGUAAAACUGAUGUCACCAUUUAGGUGAAUUUCUUUUAGCUGAGUAUAAAGGACAGUACUGUGUAGUUACUGGUUUUAAUUAAUUAUAUUUGUGAUAUCGUUUAAAUCUUUUGAUAGAUCUUCAUUGUGAUAAAGGUUUGACUUUUAAUAGUUUGUAUUUUUCUUGAAACCACCUUAAAGUAACUAAAAUUUGAAAAAGAUUGCUGCAUUUUAUAUAACGGUUACACUAGCGGGCUUUAUAACUGUAAGUUAUUGCAUGUAAGUUAUAAUUCAAUUUUUUUGUAAUCAACGAUUUUGUGAGGAGAAUUUCUGCAAGAUUAUAAAGGACAAAUGUGACAUUAAAUUCAAGCCACAAUACAGCAGUUACACAUACAUUGUAAUUUACAAUUUCUAUGUAUAACUUUAAAUUUAAGAAUAUCAUUACUUAUUUAUUUCUUUUCUCCAUUGUUUAAAUCUAUGUAUUGAAGAAACACUCAGAGUUUUAUAAUCAGUGUUUUUUUUUUCAAAAACUUGGCAAUAUUUUUAUAAAAUAACUAGCAAUUAUAUCGAUUAUUUAAAGUCAUUUGAAUAUGUAUUUAAAAAUACAUAUUCUUGUGAAAUUUUACAACUAAAUAUAAGGGAAUAAACAGUUUCAGAAUGUUUGAUCACUAAAUUGAUUUGUUUUUUUGGUAAACAUCUCUUCAUUGUGCCUGACAGUAAAUAUUGCUUAGAUAAUAAAAAAAUGAGUUCUAAGUGUACCUAAAAUGUUGAUUACCGGUACUCAAAGAAAUUUUAAUUAUUUAAAUGAAAUAUAUUUAUUCUAAAACAUGCACAAUGGAAAAAUGUAUUUCAAAUUUAGGAAUUGUAUAAAUAUGUCCACUACAUAUUUACAACAUUUGUACAGUCAAAUAUUAUUUCAAAUUAGUUAGUUUGAAGUAGUAUUACACACAACAAUUCAAUUUUGCAAUACAUUGCUGUGAAAUUUGAACUAGUUAUAGAUCUUGGUAAUAGCUAUGAGUUUGUGCAGCUUGAGUGUUUGUAGUACACUUGUAGCAAAAUUAGAGAUGGCAAUGGUGGCCAGUGCAUGCACGUGAGUAUGAAUGUAGACACUAUACAUUUUCACCUGAUACAAUGUAUCUCAUUGGAUCAAAAUUCACAGCUCACAAUUUCUAGCAUAUUUAAGUAUUCAGUAUUUUGUUUUGUUUUUAAGGACACUCCAAAGUGAGUGGCAAUUUUUGUUCCAAUGCAAUGACUAAUUUCUAGUAAAAAGUGGAAAAUUAGCUUUGUAAUUGUUGUUUCAUUCAACAUAUCUUUCCACUAUGCAUACUUUAGUGAACAUUUCCUGAAAAUUUGCUCUUACAUGAUUAAAACUAUUACUAUUACAAAUAAAUAGUUUAAAUGUGUAACUACUGUAAAACUAAGAUUAAAUUGGCUAUCUAAAACGA
rnacentral:lncRNA from 1 species